rnacentral:rRNA from 1 species
AGCCUGAGAGAUGGCUACCACAUCCAAGGAAGGCAGCAGGCGCGUAAAUUGCCCGAAUCCUGACACAGGGAGGUAGUGACAAGAAAUAACAAUACAGGGCUACUUCUAGUCUUGUAAUUGGAAUGAGUACAACUUACAUCUCUUCACGAGGAUCAAUUGGAGGGCAAGUCUGGUGCCAGCAGCCGCGGUAAUUCCAGCUCCAAAAGCGUAUAUUAAAGUUGUUGCAGUUAAAACGCUCGUAGUCGGGUUUCGGGUCGGGCCGAGCGGUCUGCCGAUGGGUAUGCACUGUUUGGCGCGGCCUUCUUUCCGGAGACCGCGGCUACUCUUAACUGAGCGGGCGUGGGAGACGGAUCGUUUACUUUGAAAAAAUCAGAGUGUUUCAAGCAGGCAGCUCGCUCUUGCAUGGUACAGCAUGGGAUGAUUGAAUAGGACUCCGGUGCUAUUUUGUUGGUUUCGAACACCAGGAGUAAUGAUUAACAGGGACAGUCAGGGGCACUCGUAUUCCGUCGAGAGAGGUGAAAUUCUCAGACCAAUGGAAGACGAACCACUGCGAAAGCAUUUGCCAGGGAUGUUUUCACUGAUCAAGAACGAAAGUUAGGGGAUCGAAGACGAUCAGAUACCGUCGUAGUCUUAACCAUAAACCAUGCCGACUAGGGAUUGGAGGGUGUUCGUUUCGACCUCUUCAGCACCUUACGGGAAACUAAAGUCUUUGGGUUCCGGGGGGAGUAUGGUCGCAAGGCUGAAACUUAAAGGAAUUGACGGAAGGGCACCACCAGGAGUGGAGCCUGCGGCUUAAUUUGACUCAACACGGGGAAACUUACCAGGUCCAGACAUUGUUAGGAUUGACAGAUUGAGAGCUCUUUCUUGAUUCGAUGGGUGGUGGUGCAUGGCCGUUCUUAGUUGGUGGAGUGAUUUGUCUGGUUAAUUCCGAUAACGAACGAGACCGUAGCCUGCUAAAUAGUCCCGCGAACUUCUUGUUGGCGGCCGACUUCUUAGAGGGACAACUUGUGACCAACAAGUGGAAGUUUGCGGCAAUAACAGGUCUGUGAUGCCCUUAGAUGUUCUGGGCCGCACGCGCGCUACACUGAAGCACUCAACGAGUCCACCUCGACCGACAGGUCUGGGAAACCUUUUGAAAUUGCUUCGUGAUGGGGAUAGAUUAUUGCAACUAUUAAUCUUCAACGAGGAAUUCCUAGUAAGCGCAUGUCAUCAGCGUGCGUUGAUUACGUCCCUGCCCUUUGUACACACCGCCCGUCGCUCCUACCGAUUGAAUGAUCCGGUGAGGCCCCCGGACUGGGGCGACGCAUUCGGUUCGCCGGACGCGACGCUCCGGGAAGCUGUCCAAACCUUAUUAUUUAGAGGAAGGAGAAGUCGUAACAAGGUUUCCGUAGGUGAACCU